rnacentral:rRNA from 1 species
GAUGAACGCUGGCGGCGUGCCUAAUACAUGCAAGUCGAGCGAACGGACGAGAAGCUUGCUUCUCUGAUGUUAGCGGCGGACGGGUGAGUAACACGUGGAUAACCUACCUAUAAGACUGGUAUAACUUCGGGAAACCGUAUCUAAUACCGGAUAAUAUUUUGAACCGCAUGGUUCAAUAGUGAAAUACGGUCUUGCUGUCACUUAUAGAUGGAUCCGCGCUGCAUUAGCUAGUUGGUAAGGUAACGGCUUACCAAGGCAACGAUGCAUAGCCGACCUGAGAGGGUGAUCGGCCACACUGGAACUGAGACACGGUCCAGACUCCUACGGGAGGCAGCAGUAGGGAAUCUUCCGCAAUGGGCGAGAGCCUGACGGAGCAACGCCGCGUGAGUGAUGAAGGUCUUCGGAUCGUAAAACUCUGUUAUUAGGGAAGAACAUAUGUGGAAGUAACUGUGCACAUCUUGACGGUACCUAAUCAGAAAGCCACGGCUAACUACGUG